UUCAAAUAAAUCAAAAUACUUUGGAUAUAUGCUGUUAGAAAAUCUUACAAACUAUUUUUAUGUAACAUCUUUUUUCAAUUUUAACCCAAAAAGGGGUUAUUUUUCAAUUUUAACCCAAAAAAGGGUUAUUUUGCAAUUUUUUAAGAAUUUUUUGAUUUUUUCAAUUUUUUAUUAUUAUUUUUUAUUAUUUAUUGUUGUUUUUUCAAUUUUUAGUUAGUAACCUAUACUAUUGUGUCUAAUUUUAAGUGUCAUUAAAAUCAAAUGUUUUUAACUUAAUAAUUUUAACAUUUCUUAAUUUAAAACGAAACAUCUUCUAUUAUAUUAAGUUAACAAAUUUCGAAAAACAACACCGACCCCGUGACCUCGACACCGUCCUUGAAAAAUCUAUUUUCAAUUAUUUUCAAAUAAAUCAAAAUACUUUGCAUAUAUGCUGUUAGAAAAUCUUACAAACUAUUUUUAUGUAACAUCUUUUUUCAUUUUUAACCC